GUUUAUUUUAAUAACUUUUUUUUAAAUGCAGACAUCACUGGAUGUUAGUGAUCAUUGAUCCAGAUGACCAUGCAUGUUACUAUCUUGGUCCGCUUAGAAAAUCUCCUUCAAAUGAUUUGAAGAACCUUAUGAAUAGUGUAUUUUCACACAUUAAGCGAAAGACAGGAAGGAAUGAAAAAAAUUACAAGUGGAAAAUAGUCAAUUGCCCUCGUCAAACAUCGUCAGUAGAGUGCGACUUUUAUAUCAUAAGGAUGAUGAAUGACUAUUGCUUGAAAGAGACACCCAUGCGAUGGCUAACUAGUAAUAAUACAUAUUACACUUGGCGAAAUUAAUGAAACUCGAAAUGAAUGGGCAACCAAGCUUCUUGAGCGGAUGAGUCAUAACUAGAGUAACUUUUGAAAUCAGAAUUAAAAAAUAUACUAAUUGUAGUUUUUAGUUAGCACUUACAUAGUUAUUCCAACUGUAUAUUUUGAUCUUGUAAUUUUUAGAUUUGGAACAUACUGAGUUCUAUUGAUUUUGUCUGCCUAUUGAUUCUGUCUGAUCUAUGUUGUAAUUACACAGGAAAUUAUGAAUGAAUAUAAUGGUUA